GAGUUUGAUCAUGGCUCAGAAUCAACGCUGGCGGCGUGCCUAACACAUGCAAGUCGAACGCGAAAGGGGAGCAAUCCCUGAGUAGAGUGGCGAACGGGUGAGUAACACGUGGGUGACCUGCCUUCGAGUGGGGGAUAACGUCCCGAAAGGGACGCUAAUACCGCAUGACAUCCUGCCUUUGAACAGGCGGUGAUUAAAGCUGGGGAUCGCAAGACCUGGCGCUUGAAGAGGGGCCCGCGCCCGAUUAGCUAGUUGGUGGGGUAAUGGCCUACCAAGGCUUCGAUCGGUAGCCGGCCUGAGAGGGCGGACGGCCACACUGGGACUGAGACACGGCCCAGACUCCUACGGGAGGCAGCAGUGGGGAAUUGUUCGCAAUGGGCGCAAGCCUGACGACGCAACGCCGCGUGGAGGACGAAGAUUUUCGGAUCGUAAACUCCUUUCGAUCGGGACGAAUCGUCUCCGACCUAAUACGUCGGGGGACUGACGGUACCGAGAGAAGAAGCCCCGGCUAACUCCGUGCUAGCCGCCGCGGUAAUAC
rnacentral:rRNA from 1 species